UACGUAGGGUGCGAGCGUUGUCCGGAAUUAUUGGGCGUAAAGAGCUUGUAGGCGGUCUGUCGCGUCUGCUGUGAAAAUCCGGGGCUCAACCCCGGACUUGCAGUGGGUACGGGCAGACUAGAGUGUGGUAGGGGAGACUGGAAUUCCUGGUGUAGCGGUGAAAUGCGCAGAUAUCAGGAGGAACACCGAUGGCGAAGGCGGGUCUCUGGGCCGAAAUUGACGCUGAGGAGCGAAAGCGUGGGGAGCAAACAGG
rnacentral:rRNA from 1 species